rnacentral:rRNA from 2 species
AGAACGACUCUCGGCAACGGAUAUCUCGGCUCACGCAUCGAUGAAGAACGUAGCAAAAUGCGAUACUUGGUGUGAAUUGCAGAAUCCCGUGAACCAUCGAGUUUUUGAACGCAAGUUGCGCCCGAAGCCAUUUGGUUGAGGGCACAUCUGCCUGGGCGUCACG